rnacentral:rRNA from 1 species
UCAGGGACGAAAGCGUGGGGAGCGAACGGGAUUAGAUACCCCGGUAGUCCACGCCGUAAACGAUGGAUACUAGGUGUAGGGAGACUCGACCCUUUCUGUGCCGACGCUAACGCAUUAAGUAUCCCGCCUGGGGAGUACGGUCGCAAGAUUAAAACUCAAAGGAAUAGACGGGGACCCACACAAGCGGUGGAGCAUGUGGUUUAAUUCGAUAAUAAGCGAGGAACCUUACCCAGACUUGACAUCCCGAGAAUUUUCUAGAAAUAGAAAAGUGCCGCAAGGAACUCGGUGACAGGUGCUGCAUGGUUGUCGUCAGCUCGUGCCUUGAGGUGUUCGGUUAAGUCCGUUAACGAGCGCAACCCUUGUCCUGUGUUGUAUCUUUCACAGGAGACUGCCGAUUUUAAAUCGGAGGAAGGUAAGGAUGACGUCAAAUCAGCAUGGCCCUUAUGUCUGGGGCUACACACGUGCUACAAUGGCUGGUACAGAGGGCAGCAAACCCGUAAGGGGGAGCCAAUCCUUAAAACCAGUCUCAGUUCGGAUUGAGGGCUGCAACUCGCCCUCAUGAAGUUGGAAUCGCUAGUAAACGCGUAUCAGCAAUGACGCGUUGAAUAUGUUCCUGGGUCUUGUACUCACCGCCCGUCACAUCAUGAAAGAUGGGGGCAUCCGAAGUAUCGUUAACUUUCGAGUGCGGUCCUAAGGUGAAACCAUUGAUUGGGAUGAAGU